rnacentral:rRNA from 1 species
GGAAUCUUCCACAAUGGGCGCAAGCCUGAUGGAGCAACACCGCGUGAGUGAAGAAGGGUUUCGGCUCGUAAAGCUCUGUUGUUAAAGAAGAACAUAUCUGAGAGUAACUGUUCAGGUAUUGACGGUAUUUAACCAGAAAGCCACGGCUAACUACGUGCAAG